rnacentral:rRNA from 1 species
GUGAGGAAUAUUGGUCAAUGGGCGCAAGCCUGAACCAGCCAUGCCGCGUGCAGGAAGACGGUCCUAUGGAUUGUAAACUGCUUUUAUUUGGGAAUAAACUCCGGUACGUGUACCGGCCUGAAGGUACCAAAUGAAUAAGCACCGGCUAACUCCGUGCCAGCAGCCGCGGUAAUACGGAGGGUGCAAGCGUUAUCCGGAAUCAUUGGGUUUAAAGGGUCCGCAGGCGGUCUUAUAAGUCAGUGGUGAAAGCAUACAGCUCAACUGUAGAACUGCCAUUGAUACUGUAGGACUUGAAUUCGAUCGAAGUGGGCGGAAUGUGACAUGUAGCGGUGAAAUGCUUAGAUAUGUCACAGAACACCGAUAGCGAAGGCAGCUCACUAGGUCUGGAUUGACGCUCAGGGACGAAAGCGUGGGGAGCAAACAGGAUUAGAUACCCGAGUAGUCC